UACGUAGGGGGCAAGCGUUGUCCGGAUUUAUUGGGCGUAAAGGGCGCGUAGGCGGUUUGUCGCGUCGGGAGUGAAAACCAGGUGCUUAACACCUGGCUUGCUUUCGAUACGGGCAGACUAGAGGUAUUCAGGGGAGAACGGAAUUCCUGGUGUAGCGGUGAAAUGCGCAGAUAUCAGGAGGAACACCGGUGGCGAAGGCGGUUCUCUGGGAAUGACCUGACGCUGAGGAGCGAAAGUGUGGGGAGCGAACAGG
rnacentral:rRNA from 1 species